ACCAGCUGACGAGUCCUAAAUAGAACGAAAUGCGCAUCCUGGAU
rnacentral:hammerhead_ribozyme from 1 species